rnacentral:rRNA from 1 species
CGGGUGAGUAACACGUGGGUAACCUACCCAGAAGUGGGGAAUAACUCUUCGAAAGGAGGGCUAAUACCGCAUAACAUCACGGAGUCUCCGGAUUCUGUGAUCAAAACAGGCCUCUAUUUUAUGCUUGUGCUUCUGGAGGGACCCGCGCCCCAUUAGCUUGUUGGUGAGGUAACGGCUCACCAAGGCUCCGAUGGGUAGCCGGCCUGAGAGGGCGAUCGGCCACACUGGAACUUAGACACGGUCCAG